GUUUUAAACAAGCUGUAUUUAACUUGGUGUUUUCUUACAUGUUUAUAGACUUUGGAACGGAAUUCCCAAAAUCCCAAAAAGGCAAAAAGUCAUAUGGUGGAAAUCCUGGCAAUCUCAGACUAAGCGAUUAAAUAGUCUUCCUGGAAAGCAUGUGCAGGUGUCAUUGAAUAAUCAUUGCCAUUCUAUGGUCUUCGAUUUGUGUGAAAACACCAAACACUUUUCGUGCAGUGUCAAAUGGUGUAAGUUUUAUUAUGAAGGUGCUGAAAUCUCAGAUACCCAAAGAAGGUGUGUAUUGAAAAAGAUAAAUUUGAUCGUCUCAAUGAGAAGGGUGUUAUCGUGACACAACCACAUUUAAAUAGUGGUGUAUUCCCGUGACACACACUUGGUUCAGUUCCAUUGAUGAAACAAGAUGGGCAUGUUUGUUCGCUUCUCCGCCCGCUGAAUCUUCGUUCGCAAAAGGUUAAGAUUUCAUGGAUGAGUUU